rnacentral:rRNA from 1 species
CAAUAGCGUAUAUUAAAGUUGUUGCGGUUAAAAAGCUCGUAGUUGGAUUUCUGCUGAGAACGACCGGUCCGCCCUCUGGGUGUGUAUCUGGCUCUUUCUUGGCAUCUUCUUGGUGAACGUUGCUGCACUUGACUGUGUGGAGCGCUACCCAGGACUUUUACUUUGAGGAAAUUAGAGUGUUUCAAGCAGGCAUACGCCUUGAAUACAUUAGCAUGGAAUAAUAAGAUAGGACCUCGGUUCUAUUUUGUUGGUUUCUAGAGCUGAGGUAAUGAUUAAUAGGGAUAGUUGGGGGCAUUCGUAUUUAACUGUCAGAGGUGAAAUUCUUGGAUUUAUUAAAGACUAACUAAUGCGAAAGCAUUUGCCAAGGAUGUUUUCAUUAA